rnacentral:pre_miRNA from 1 species
AGUGUGAUUGCUGGGUCAUAGGAUAGCUCUGUUUUUAACUUUUUGAGGAAUUUCCAUACUGUUUUCCAGAGUGACUAUACCAUCUUGCAUUCCCACUAGCAGU